GACGAACGCUGGCGGCGUGCUUAACACAUGCAAGUCGAACGAAGUGGCGGACGGGUGAGUAACGCGUAAUCAACCUGCUCAUCAGAGGGGGACAACAGUUGGAAACGACUGCUAAUACGGCAUACUUAAGGAGGGGCUUGCGUCUGAUUCGCUAGUUGGGGGGGUAACGGCCCACCAAGGCGAUGAUCAGUAGCCGGUCUGGGAGGAGGAACGGCACAAUUGGGACUGAGACACGGCCCAGACUCCUACGGGGGGCAGCAGUGGGGAAUCUUCCGCAAUGGACGAAAGUCUGACGGAGCAACGGCGCGGGAGUUAUGACGGCCUUCGGGUUGUAAAGCUCUGUUAAUCGGGACGCGGUACCGGAAUAGAAAGCCACGGCUAACUACGUGCCAGCAGCCGCGGUAAUAC
rnacentral:rRNA from 1 species